UACAGAGGUCCCAAGCGUUGUUCGGAUUCACUGGGCGUAAAGGGUGCGUAGGUGGUGAGGUAAGUCGGAUGUGAAAGCUCGGAGCUCAACUCCGAAAUGGCAUUGGAAACUACCUUACUCGAGGGUUGGAGGGGGGACUGGAAUACUUGGUGUAGCAGUGAAAUGCGUAGAUAUCGAGAGGAACACCAGUGGCGAAGGCGAGUCCCUGGACAACACCUGACACUGAGGCACGAAAGCUAGGGGAGCAAACAGG
rnacentral:rRNA from 1 species